rnacentral:lncRNA from 1 species
UAUUACAGAAGACACAUAUCUUUUCAACUAAAACAUAUAGGAAAUCUUGAUAUGAAGCACAACAUACAAAGACAGAGAAGCUUGAAACGUGGGGAGCUCAACCAAAGAGGCUGGUCAGACUGGGAAGCUUGAUCUCUCCCUUCUUGGACAGAGGUAUGGUGAAGUUCCCAAUCACAGGAAGGUCAAUGGUGAGACCCAAUAUCAACUCAUAAUCAAUGUCCCAAUCUGCCCCAACAUCCUUACACAAGGUCGCCAACACACUAUGUGGCACCUUCACUGGUACCUCCAGAAUGGUAACAUCGCUUGCCUUAAUCGAUCCAGGGUCCGGAACUGUCCCAGCUACAAUCUCCCUGAAUAAACAACAAUCAUAUCCAAUCAAACCCAAGUUUUCUUCUACAUCAAGCAAUCAAACCCAAUAAGAACAUGAACAAAAUUAGUACCUGCCAACACAUUUGAGGGUGUAGGAGAUCUCGCAGAUGGGGAUGGAAUGAUCAUAAGGGUUCUUGACAUGAACCUUGCCGAGGUACUCCGCAGCAUCGAAGCUCACCUUCCUGAAGUCGACAUCUGUGAGCUCUGCUUCUGGCUUUUCUACGUUGCCCAGUUUCUCAGUCACGAAGUUCUUAGCCUUGUCAAAUAACCCAGCCAUUUCCUGAAGCACUGUAGUAACAAGAGAGAUGGAUGGAAGAAGAAAUAGAUAGAUCUAAGCCGGAAAGAUAGAGUAGUUUGGGGACUUUGAAUUUGUGAUUAGGGAAAUAGGAUCCUUGGGAAUAUAUACACGCAGGUGGUAGGCAUGGUAGUGGAGUGGGGUAUGUGGGUUUCUGACACGUGUCGUGAGGUUGCCGUGGAGACGCGUGACGGUGUGUACGUGUCAGUUGUGUUGCCUCCGUGUUUGGAGAUCUGUAAAUCCGGCCGACCAUAGUUGGAAAGAAAAUGGAGAAGGUGUGUACGGAAGUCAUGGCUAAGAUUUAGAUAUUUUAUUUUGUUCUCGUUACCGUGAACGUUAAAAGAGUCAUGGUCUGGGCAUCAAUGAGAGACACCCCAGCUGGGUCCUUGCUCUUUUGGUAACAUUUUCAUUGUUUGGUUCUUCUCUGACCUAUUUUUUAAGAAAAAUAAACAAGUUUCAUACUUUAGGACUUCUCACUUGCUAAAGUUUCCUACUUUACUUCUUACAACACAAGUAUCAUACUUACGAAUUCUUUCAAAAUCUCACAUUCGCCUCAUUAUCUUGUGCUUCUUGUAAUUGUGUUAGAUAACAAGAAACGGUGCAGAUGCUCAUCACAAGAUUGUCAUGGUUAUAAGCACACAAAUUCGUAAACUAUAUUUAUUUUCAAGAUUUCAUUCUUGCAGUGACGACUUCAAUAUAUUAACCCACAAAGUGUUAACUGUGAUCAGCUGAACAGAGUCAGGAGUCAGAACCAGCAGGGGUAUUACAGAAGCCAAACAUAUCUUUUCAACUAAAACACAUAGGAAAUCUUGAUAUGAAGCACAACAUACAAAGACAGAGAAGCUUGAAACUUGGGGAGCUCAACCAAAGAGGCUGGUGAGACUGGGAAGCUUGAUCUCUCCCUUCUUGGACAGAGGUAUGGUGAAAUUCCCAAUCACAGGAAGGUCAAUGGUGAGACCCAAUAUCAACUCAUAAUCAAUGUCCCAAUCUGCCCCAACAUCCUUACACAAGGUCGCCAACACACUAUGUGGCACCUUCACUGGUACCUCCAGAAUUGUAACAUCGCUUGCCUCAAUCGAUCCCGGGUCCGGAAUUUUCCCAGAUACAAUCUCCCUGAAUAACAAAACAAUCAUAUCCAAUCAAACCCUGGUUUUCUUCUACAUCAAGCAAUCAAAACCAAUAAGAAGAUAAACAAAAUUAGUACCUGCCAACACAUUUGAGGGUGUAGGAGAUCUCGCAGAUGGGGAUGGAGUGAUCAUAAGGGUUCUUGACAUGAACCUUGCCGAG